CCGUGAGCCCCAAACAAAUUCCUUCGGUUUGAUAUCCUUCCCUCUCUCCUCCCUCCCCCUUGAAAGAAAAGGAAAAUUUAGGCUGACAAAAAAAGGAAACCGGGCGAAUAAAAGGCCCACACGCGUUCCGGAGCGUUGUAGAUCAGCAGCACACUAUGCGCACAUGUACUUCUCUUUUUUUUGUAAAGUUGCGUUGCCCGUUGGCAGGAGAAGAAGAGGGCCAGUGCGGCUCACGGGGUGAGAGGGGGGGUUGAGGAAAAGGCGGAGCCUUCUCCCUCCUCCUCGUGGUGACAUCGACGAGAUGAACAGGAGAAGAUGUCACGAAAGGUUGUGCUGGGAGAAGGGGGUGGUAUUCAGGGAGGAGAGGGGAAGGUCCAGACUUUGGUUCUCCUGCCUUGAUGACCGAACGCAAUUGCCAUCACCUGUGUGGGCUUUGGAGGCACUUCUCCAACCCUCCUCCCCUCACGCCCCGCCCCGCUGCCAGAGACUUUGACGGCUUUAUCCCCGUCCCUCACUCUCGCUAGGCCACCGCGCCAGCUUCGAUGGGCACCUUCCACCCAUUACAUCCCCCUCCUCGUCACCGAGGCGCAAGUGAGGAGGUAUACAUGAGCAAACACUAAACAAAAGAAGAGAAGAUGCAUUCUUGCUCGUCUCGGUGCUCGUGUCGUCGCCAGCUGUGCAGUUUAUCGCGCUCCAGUUCUAUCCUUCUAUCCCUUUGUCGGCUCUGUUUUCUGUUGGUGUCUUCGCGUGUGUGCACAUGAG
rnacentral:misc_RNA from 1 species